rnacentral:lncRNA from 1 species
ACAGAUCGCGAUUUAACCACGUUAAACGUGUAACUCGAAAGUAAGCUAGAAGGCGCCCGUGUUUUAAGCGCACACAGUGUUCUCGCGCUAGAAAAUCAAAUAUUUUUCGCAAAACCACGAACAAAACUCGACAACCUAAACAAAAUUCGACAUUCUUGUGCAGUAGUGAUUAAAGGGUAGAAUCGACGGUUUAUUUAGUACUGCUAACGGCGAUUUACCGUUAAUCUUUUCAUUCAUUUGAUUUGUUUGUACUUUUUUAUUGUGAUUAGGAUUAUGAAUGAAUUUGCGGAUUGGCGUUUUUUUAUUGCGAAUUUGUGAGCUCCAAAAGUAAUGUGGCCCAGCGCGGUUCGCUGCGGCUACUGCCAAAAAGCGAUAUCAAAAUCGCAACUGUCAAGGCACCGGAGAAGGCCAAGAUUACUUUACCGAGAAGGCUGCAUCCGUGGCUGCCUACGACCCGGCCCGGCCGGCACCGCAAAAGCGAAGCGCAACCGGCUGAUGGUGUUCCUUCGCCAGUGGAGCUGCUGCUUCUGGCUGCAGGCACAUUGCCGGGCUCGGUCCAGGCACACCAGCCUGCCCCGACAUCACCGACGAGUGACGGCGAUUUUCCUGUCGCCCCUGAUGCCGGCGAGGGGCCAGCCAGACCCGUCGAUGCGGCGACCGCGGUACCAGCUGACGCUACCGAGCAAGAGCGCGCACAUUUCACUGGUACUGCAUCGCAGUGUCGCCACCAUGCGCCAGUCACCGCCGCUGCGAACAAGAUCGUAGUAGACGCCAGCCCCCUGGACCAGCUGCUGGCUGCUGCCGCCUACAUGGAAGUGACAAAGACACCGACAGGGGCCAAGUUUUUCAUUGAAAUGAUCGUGCAGUUUGGCAGGUGCUCACUCUAAAUUGCGUUGUACGGGAAUCGCUGCUCCAGGAAGCGUUUUUUUUUUUAGCUGGAAUAGAUUUUAAUCAAUAAAAAUGGUAAAAUUGACCUUAUGCUCAUAAUAUCAGAUAAAUUAAUUGAAAAAAGGUCCAGAAUAUAUUUUCGAACUUGGUUCUUCUUCGGUGGAAUCAAAAAUGGCGAGAGGAUUUGAUUCCACCGAAGAAGAACCAAGUUCGAAAAUAUAUUCUGGACCUUUUUUCAAUUAAUUUAUCUGAUAUUAUGAGCAUAAGGUCAAUUUUACCAUUUUUAUUUAUUACAAUCAUGCUCAAAGAAACGUACCAUAUAAAACUAUGGGAAUAGAUUUUGUUAGACGAGGCGAAGAAAAAUGGACAGCGUUGGUGAAGUGCUAUUUAUUGUUUCUGAACUUAGCAGAGGGUUGAAUAGUGGAGCUCGGUUCAGGUGCAAAUUGGUACAUGGCACUCGCUGCUCGUUACCAGGGGCGUAACUUUAUAUCUCUUUGGGGGGGCUUGAGCCCCCCCCCCUGUGCUGAACUGAGCCCCCCUUGGGAAGCUUAGAGCCCCCCUUGAUUAAUUUUUAAUUCUUGACAAAACACACACAAAUAGCAAGACACUAACAUCCAAUUUCCCCAUUUUCCACCAUACACAUGAGUUUCCAGGUUGGGGGAUGAUCAUGGAUUUGUAAACACCCUCGCCCGUAUAGGGG